AGUCGAACGAAGGCUUCGGCCUUAGUGGCGCACGGGUGCGUAACGCGUGGGAAUCUGCCCCUUGGUUCGGAAUAACAGUUGGAAACGACUGCUAAUACCGGAUGACGACGUAAGUCCAAAGAUUUAUCGCCGAGGGAUGAGCCCGCGUAGGAUUAGCUAGUUGGUGUGGUAAAGGCGCACCAAGGCGACGAUCCUUAGCUGGUCUGAGAGGAUGAUCAGCCACACUGGGACUGAGACACGGCCCAGACUCCUACGGGAGGCAGCAGUGGGGAAUAUUGGACAAUGGGCGAAAGCCUGAUCCAGCAAUGCCGCGUGAGUGAUGAAGGCCUUAGGGUUGUAAAGCUCUUUUACCCGGGAUGAUAAUGACAGUACCGGGAGAAU
rnacentral:rRNA from 1 species